rnacentral:rRNA from 1 species
AUUGAACGCUGGCGGCAUGCUUUACACAUGCAAGUCGAACGGUAACAGCACUUCGGUGGCUGACGAGUGGCGAACGGGUGAGUAAUGUAUCGGAACGUGCCCAGUAGUGGGGGAUAACUACUCGAAAGAGUGGCUAAUACCGCAUGAGAUCUCUGGAUGAAAGCGGGGGACCGUAAGGCCUCGCGCUACUGGAGCGGCCGAUAUCAGAUUAGGUUGUUGGUGGGGUAAAGGCCUACCAAGCCUGCGAUCUGUAGCUGGUCUGAGAGGACGACCAGCCACACUGGGACUGAGACACGGCCCAGACUCCUACGGGAGGCAGCAGUGGGGAAUAUUGCGCAAUGGGGGAAACCCUGGACGCAGCGACGCCGCGUGAGCGAAGAAGGCCUUCGGUUGUAAAGCUCUGUCUGGAGGGACGAACAAAAUAGACGGUACCGUCCGGACGGAAGCAACGGCUAACUCCGUGCCAGCCGACCGCGGUAAUCUAGUCUACG